ACAAAGGCUCUUCUAAGAGCCACACACUCUCUUUAGAAGAUCUGU
rfam:Xenopus tropicalis strain Nigerian Chr06_contig_53, whole genome shotgun sequence.